rnacentral:rRNA from 1 species
AUUGAACGCUGGCGGCAGGCCUAACACAUGCAAGUCGAGCGGGGUUUUCGGACCUAGCGGCGGACGGGUGAGUAAUGCGUAGGAAGCUGCCCGAUAGAGGGGGAUACCAGUUGGAAACGACUGUUAAUACCGCAUAAUGUCUACGGACCAAAGCGUGGGACCUUCGGGCCACAUGCUAUCGGAUGCGCCUACGUGGGAUUAGCUAGUUGGUGAGGUAAUGGCUCACCAAGGCGACGAUCUCUAGCUGGUUUGAGAGGAUGAUCAGCCACACUGGAACUGAGACACGGUCCAGACUCCUACGGGAGGCAGCAGUGGGGAAUAUUGGACAAUGGGCGCAAGCCUGAUCCAGCCAUGCCGCGUGUGUGAAGAAGGCCUUCGGGUUGUAAGGCACUUUCAGCGAGGAGGAAGGGUGGUGUGUUAAUAGCACAUCAUUUUGACGUUACUCGCAGAAGAAGCACCGGCUAACUCUGUGCCAGCAGCCGCAGUAAGAC